GACGAAGGGGGCUAGCGUUGUUCGGAAUUACUGGGCGUAAAGCGCGUGUAGGCGGUUUUCCAAGUUGGGUGUGAAAGCCUUGGGCUUAACCCAAGAAAUGCACUCAGUACUGGAAGACUAGAGGACCGGAGAGGAUAGUGGAAUUCCCAGUGUAGUGGUGAAAUACGUAGAGAUUGGGAAGAACACCAGUGGCGAAGGCGGCUAUCUGGACGGUUUCUGACGCUAAGACGCGAAAGCGUGGGGAGCAAAC
rnacentral:rRNA from 1 species